UAUAAAGUACAAAUAUUUUUAAAUCUUCUUUAUUCGUAAUAUACAACAGUAAUGAGCAAACUCUGGAUUUUUUGAAAAUAUAACACGUUUGGUUAUCAUCUUGCGCUUCACUGACAAUUUACAUCAAGGUUUUUAGUAGCCAAGAGACUGAUAUGAGAAAUAAGUAAAAUAUCAUAUUGACAAAUUAAGUAAAAUACAAAAAGUAGCAAAUAGAUCGUGUUUAACAUACAUGAACAUAAAUAAUUAUAAUGAUAUAUAUAUAUAUAAUAAGACAAACUAGUCUUUGAUCUAAUAUACAAAGUUGAUAAAAGAUAUUUCACUGAGGUCAACAAAUAUUAUUCGUCACAUGUUACAACAAUAAAGACUAUAAUGACAACAUAUAAAAGAAUCCCUACGUUCAUAAAAUAAAUGUAUAGUGAAAAGAAAUUUUAAAAUGAUGUAGCACUUUUUAACAAAGUCAAUUUAUUUAUGAAAAUAGUAUAUGGAUGAAAGUAAAUAUGAGAUAACUAAUAAAAUUUAUUGUUUGAUUGACACAUCAACGACAGAUUUAGGUUGUAUAUUACUUUCUAUUUUUAAUAACAACCGGAAACAAUUAUUAAAUAUUUUGCCAAUUUCCAGAUCUCAAUCUAUGUACGCAUUUAUACAAGGAAUCAAAGACAAAAUUAAACAGCAUCCGAUUGAUGAAAAAGAAAAAAAAAGAAAAAACAGACCCAACUAUCGAAACAAAAUAACCAUGGGAAAGAUGUAUCUUAAAUUUAAAUACUAGGAAACAAACAGAACAUAUACCUAUUUGAUAUUUAUACGCUGUCAUAAAUGUUACUAUGUAUGUAUAUAUGAUAAUAUGUAGAAAUUAUUUUAUAGGGUAUAUGCCCUAAAUUUGUCACUAAAAUGUAUGUAUCUUCUUGUUCUUAUUAAUAGAAUAUCAAACAUA